UCCAGCCCCUAACCGCAAGUGAUCCG
rnacentral:piRNA from 1 species